CCUCCCUGGCAAUGGGCAAAGGGACACCCUGUUGGUAAUGGUGUUCUUAUAUCAGUCAGGGGCAGAGUAGAUGGCAGUCCUUUGUUCAUCCUAGCUUGAUGUCUAGUUUGGUGGCCAAAGCUAUCUAAUGUCUAAGAUUCAUAA